AGAGUUUGCUUCUGGCUCAGGAUGAACGCUGGCGGCGUGCUUAACACAUGCAAGUCGAGCGAAGCGAUUUAAGUGAAGUUUUCGGAUGGAUCUUAAAUUGACUGAGCGGCGGACGGGUGAGUAACGCGUGGAUAACCUGCCUCACACAGGGGGAUAACAGUUAGAAAUGACUGCUAAUACCGCAUAAGCGCACGGUACCGCAUGGUACAGUGUGAAAAACUCCGGUGGUGUGAGAUGGAUCCGCGUCUGAUUAGGUAGUUGGUGAGGUAACGGCCCACCAAGCCGACGAUCAGUAGCCGACCUGAGAGGGUGACCGGCCACAUUGGGACUGAGACACGGCCCAAACUCCUACGGGAGGCAGCAGUGGGGAAUAUUGCACAAUGGGCGAAAGCCUGAUGCAGCAACGCCGCGUGAGUGAAGAAGUAUCUCGGUAUGUAAAGCUCUAUCAGCAGGGAAGAAAAUGACGGUACCUGACUAAGAAGCCCCGGCUAACUACGUGCCAGCAGCCGCGGUAAUACGUAGGGGGCAAGCGUUAUCCGGAUUUACUGGGUGUAAAGGGAGCGCAGACGGCACUGCAAGUCUGAAGUGAAAGCCCGGGGCUCAACCCCGGGACUGCUUUGGAAACUGUAGAGCUAGAGUGCUGGAGAGGCAAGCGGAAUUCCUAGUGUAGCGGUGAAAUGCGUAGAUAUUAGGAAGAACACCAGUGGCGAAGGCGGCUUGCUGGACAGUAACUGACGUUCAGGCUCGAAAGCGUGGGGAGCAAACAGGAUUAGAUACCCUGGUAGUCCACGCCGUAAACGAUGA
rnacentral:rRNA from 1 species